UCCUACCAGCACUAAUACAGCUACAGAGAAGAGCAGAGAGCAGGCAGAGUGGGUUAGGUCCAAUAUGCCUGGGUCACUUCUCCUGGGAAGGGAUCACAGGAACCACCUUUAUGAUAUGAUUCACCUCUACACAAGCUCAGGCUCAUUCCGUCCUAGACUGCUUGCUGUGAAGCCUUAUGCUCAGGAGGUGGCUGUGGUUGAGCAGUACUGGCAGCUGUUUCCUUCCUCAUUGGUCGCAGUGCUACUUGCUGUCCAUGAUGACAAAGUUGUCACUGAUGUCCCUUCAUCAUGCUGUACUGACUUUGAAAGGUCAGUGAUGACUGAGUUGACUUUAAUGCCCGUUAAGAUGUCCAGACACAUCAGUCAAACAUCUUGACUGUGCUUUUCUUUGUA
rnacentral:lncRNA from 1 species